AGAGUUUGAUCCUGGCUCAGGAUGAACGCUAGCUACAGGCUUAACACAUGCAAGUCGAGGGGCAGCAUGAACUUAGCUUGCUAAGUUUGAUGGCGACCGGCGCACGGGUGAGUAACGCGUAUCCAACCUUCCCCUUAGUAGGGCAUAGCCCGUAGAAAUGCGGAUUAAUACCCUAUGUUAUUCGUCGAGGACAUCUGAAGUGAAUCAAAGGUUUACCGCUAAGGGAUGGGGAUGCGUCUGAUUAGGCAGCAGGCGGGGUAACGGCCCACCUGGCCUACGAUCAGUAGGGGUUCUGAGAGGAAGGUCCCCCACAUUGGAACUGAGACACGGUCCAAACUCCUACCGGAGGCAGCAGUGAGGAAUAUUGGUCAAUGGACGAGAGUCUGAACCAGCCAAGUAGCGUGCAGGACGACGGCCCUAUGGGUUGUAAACUGCUUUUAUGCGGGGAUAAAGUGACGUACGUGUACGUUUUUGUAGGUACCGCAUGAAUAAGGACCGGCUAAUUCCGUGCCAGCAGCCGCGGUAAUACGGAAGGUCCGGGCGUUAUCCGGAUUUAUUGGGUUUAAAGGGAGCGCAGGCGGAAGCUUAAGCGUGACGUGAAAUGUAGCCGCUCAACGGCUGAGUUGCGUCGCGAACUGGGUUUCUUGAGUGAGUACGACGUCAGCGGAAUUCGUGGUGUAGCGGUGAAAUGCUUAGAUAUCACGAAGAACUCCGAUUGCGAAGGCAGCUGGCGAGACUGUAACUGACGCUAAAGCUCGAAAGUGCGGGUAUCGAACAGGAUUAGAUACCCUGGUAGUCCGCACGGUAAACGAUGGAUGCCCGCUGUUUGCGAUAUAAUGUAAGCGGCCAAGCGAAAGCGUUAAGCAUCCCACCUGGGGAGUACGCCGGCAACGGUGAAACUCAAAGGAAUUGACGGGGCCCGCACAAGCGGAGGAACAUGUGGUUUAAUUCGAUGAUACGCGAGGAACCUUACCCGGGCUUGAACUGCCAGCGANCGAUACAGAGAUGUUGAGCUCUCGGGGCGCUGGUGGAGGUGCUGCAUGGUUGUCGUCAGCGUCGUGCC
rnacentral:rRNA from 1 species